GACGAACGCUGGCGGCGUGCUUAACACAUGCAAGUCGAACGAAGUGGCGAACGGGUGAGUAACGCGUAAUCAACCUGCCCUUCAGAGGGGGAUAACAGUUGGAAACGACUGCUAAUACCGCAUACUGAAGGCGGGGAUUGCGUGUGAUUGGCUAGUUGGGGGGGUAACGGCCCACCAAGGCGAUGAAUAGUAGCCGGUCUGGGGGGAUGACCGACCGAAUUGGGACUGAGACACGGCCCAGAAUCCUACGGGAGGCAGCAGUGGGGAAUCUUCCGCAAUGGACGAAAGUCUGACGGAGCAACGCCGAGUUAGUGAUGACGGGCUUCGGGUUGUAAAGCUCUGUUAAUCGGGACGCGGUACCGGAAUAGAAAGCCACGGCUAACUACGUGCCAGCAGCCGCGGUAAUUC
rnacentral:rRNA from 1 species